AGAGUUUGAUCCUGGCUCAGAUUGAACGCUGGCGGCAGGCCUAACACAUGCAAGUCGAGCGGGGUUUUCGGACCUAGCGGCGGACGGGUGAGUAAUGCGUAGGAAGCUACCCGAUAGAGGGGGAUACCAGUUGGAAACGACUGUUAAUACCGCAUAAUGUCUACGGACCAAAGUGUGGGACCUUCGGGCCACAUGCUAUCGGAUGCGCCUACGUGGGAUUAGCUAGUUGGUGAGGUAAUGGCUCACCAAGGCGACGAUCUCUAGCUGGUUUGAGAGGAUGAUCAGCCACACUGGAACUGAGACACGGUCCAGACUCCUACGGGAGGCAGCAGUGGGGAAUAUUGGACAAUGGGCGCAAGCCUGAUCCAGCCAUGCCGCGUGUGUGAAGAAGGCCUUCGGGUUGUAAAGCACUUUCAGCGAGGAGGAAGGGAGUUGUGUUAAUAGCACGGCUUUUUGACGUUACUCGCAGAAGAAGCACCGGCUAACUCUGUGCCAGCAGCCGCGGUAAUACAGAGGGUGCAAGCGUUAAUCGGAAUUACUGGGCGUAAAGCGCACGCAGGCGGUUGGUUAAGUCAGAUGUGAAAGCCCCGGGCUCAACCUGGGAAUUGCAUUUGAAACUGGCUCACUAGAGUAUGUGAGAGGGGGGUAGAAUUC
rnacentral:rRNA from 1 species